GUUUUGAAUUUGACCGCUAUUGAAUUCCAUUUUCAUUUUCUGAUGCUGCAUGCAAGGUUUGGACGUCGCAGCCGGAAAUUACACGCUGAAUGGUAUUUAGGAGUUGUGAUACAGAAACCCAACGGAGAGAACCUGAGGCAAGUGCAGAAGAAGUUUGACUAUGUCUCUCAUGGAUGGUACUGUGGCUGAACACCUGGCUCUCAUUGCUCGCGCCUACCAAGUUCAUUAUGUGAUCUCCAGGUGAAGGAAAUGCAGAGAAGGCGAAAGCAUUGUUUGCGUUUGGAGACUCGUAUGCUGAUACAAGGAACUGUGAUCCAAGCUACAACGCAAAAUGAUAACGAACCUUGGAGAAGACCAUAUGGAUUCAACUGGCCUGGUUAUCCUGCAGAGAGAUACUCCUCUGGGAAAGUGCAAAUAGAUAGUUGGGGUAAACACAAAUUAUUAUGCUUUUCUUGUGCAAAGUUUAAACAGUAUAAUUUAUUAAGUUUUCGAUUUGUUUAGAUGGUCCAUUUUGAAAAGAAACGUGGUACAGAGGAGAAACCCAUAAAAGAGCUCUUAACAGAGUUUUUUAUUCUA